GCUUGUCUCAGUCAUAUAAACUGUAGUAGAAUUGCUUGAAAUUAGUUUAUUAAAGGUCACAUUUUUCCAGUGCAAAGAAAGGAGAGGAAACGUCUCUGUGCCUGAUAUGUCCCUACGCACUCAGCAUCCUCUCCUCUGGAUCCAUGGUCCUCCAUGCCUCAGCCUCUCUGGGUCUUCUACGUCGGGAGGGAAGACUGGGGCCGAGGCAUCUCAUUCCCUGUCCAGGAAGUCAUCAGUUGUCGUAGAUGUGGGCUAGCAUUGUGUAAAGAUAUCAAGAAAAUGUCUAUCACCCAAUCACACCCUGCUCCUCUCGUUUCCCAGCCAAUCAGAGGGUGGAAGAAGGCCAAGCCAAAUUUCAAGAUCUACUGUUGGGCCCUCCUCCUACUGACUUCAUAACCUAUCAGCUGAUGGAUGAAUUGGAAAAGAGAUACGUAAAGAAGCUGUUCAACACAGCACCCACUGAUAGACAGGACAAGAACUCUGAGAGCAGGCAUGUACCACACUCACACACACACACAAUGAAUUUGAAUCGGGUGGAUAAAUAUCACACGUGGAUAUGUGAUUUGAGAAGACACUGAAUGUGCAGUUACACACACACACACAUUGCAAUAAUAGUUUUGUCAAUAUCUCGUGGAAACUUUUCAGUAAACACAACUGUAUUGUGCUUUACAUUUGUGUGCUCAUGCAAAUGGACUUGUUUUGACAUAAUUUCAUCCUUCAGAAACAGCAGCAGCUGAAACAGACAAACAGUAUUUCU
rnacentral:lncRNA from 1 species